rnacentral:rRNA from 1 species
GACAGAGGUCCCGAGCGUUAGGCGGAAUCACUGGGCUUAAAGCGUGUGUAGGCGGAUUUGUAAGUACCUUGUGAAAUCCCACGGCUUAACCGUGGAACUGCUUGGUAUACUGCUUAUCUUGGGCCAUCUAGGGGCUACCGGAACAAGUGGUGGAGCGGUGAAAUGCGUAGAUAUCAUCUGGAACGCCAAUGGUGAAAACAGCUCGCUGGGGGUUUGCAGACGCUGAGACACGAAAGCCAGGGGAGCGAACGGG